rnacentral:rRNA from 1 species
GAUGAACGCUGGCGGCGUGCCUAAUACAUGCAAGUCGAGCGAACGGACGAGAAGCUUGCUUCUCUGAUGCUAGCGGCGGACGGGUGAGUAACACGUGGAUAACCUACCUAUAAGACUGGGAUAACUUCGGGAAACCGUAGCUAAUACCGGAUAAUAUUUUGAACCGCAUGGUUCAAAAGUGAAAGACGGUCUUGCUGUCACUUAUAGAUGGAUCCGCGCUGCAUUAGCUAGUUGGUAAGGUAACGGCUUACCAAGGCAACGAUGCAUAGCCGACCUGAGAGGGUGAUCGACCACACUGGAACUGAGACACGGUCCAGACUCCUACGGGAGGCAGCUGUAGGGAAUCUUCCGCAAUGGGCGAAAGCCUGACGGAGCAACGCCGCGUGAGUGAUGAAGGUCUUCGGAUCGUAAAACUCUGUUAUUAGGGAAGAACAUAUGUGUAAGUAACUGUGCACAUCUUGACGGUACCUAAUCAGAAAGCCACGGCUAACUACGUG